rnacentral:rRNA from 1 species
AUUGAACGCUGGCGGCGUGCUUAACACAUGCAAGUCGAGCGGUAACGCGGGGGCAACCCUGGCGACGAGCGGCGAACGGGUGCGUAAUGCAUGGGAAUCUGCCUGGUAGUGGGGAAUAACCCGGGGAAACUCGGGCUAAUGCCGCAUACGACCUACGGGUGAAAGCGGGGGACCGUAAGGCCUCGCGCUAUCAGAUGAGCCCAUGUCGGAUUAGCUAGUUGGUAGGGUAACGGCCUACCAAGGCGACGAUCCGUAGCUGGUCUGAGAGGACGGCCAGCCACACUGGGACUGAGACACGGCCCAGACUCCUACGGAGGCAGCAGUGGGGAAUAUUGGACAAUGGGGGAAACCCUGAUCCAGCGACGCCGCGUGUGUGAAGAAGGCCUGCGGGUUGUAAAGCACUUUCGGUGGGAACGAAAGUAUGUCGGGUCAAUACCCCGGCAGGCUGACGUUACCCAAUGAAGAAGCACCGGCUAACUCUGUGCCAGCAACCGCGGUAA